rnacentral:SRP_RNA from 1 species
GCUGGGCAUGGUGGCUCAUGCCUGUAAUCCCAGCACUCUGGGAGGCCGAGGUGGGUGGAUCACCUGAGGUCAGGAUUCGAGACCAGUCCUGGCCAACAUGGUGAAACCCCAUCUCUA